AACGAACGCUGGCGGCAGGCUUAACACAUGCAAGUCGAGCGCCCCGCAAGGGGAGCGGCAGACGGGUGAGUAACGCGUGGGAAUCUACCCAUCUCUACGGAAUAACGCAUGGAAACGUGUGCUAAUACCGUAUACGUCCUUCGGGAGAAAGAUUUAUCGGAGAUGGAUGAGCCCGCGUUGGAUUAGCUAGUUGGUGGGGUAAAGGCCUACCAAGGCGACGAUCCAUAGCUGGUCUGAGAGGAUGAUCAGCCACACUGGGACUGAGACACGGCCCAGACUCCUACGGGAGGCAGCAGUGGGGAAUAUUGGACAAUGGGCGCAAGCCUGAUCCAGCCAUGCCGCGUGAGUGAUGAAGGCCCUAGGGUUGUAAAGCUCUUUCACCGGUGAAGAUAAUGACGGUAACCGGAGAAGAAGCCCCGGCUAACUUCGUGCCAGCCGCCGCCGUUAAGAC
rnacentral:rRNA from 1 species